CCUACGGGAGGCAGCAGUGAGGAAUAUUGGUCAAUGGGCGCGAGCCUGAACCAGCCAAGUCGCGUGAGGGAAGACGGCCCUACGGGUUGUAAACCUCUUUUGCCGGGGAGCAACGGGCGCCACGUGUGGCGCCACUGAGAGUACCCGGAGAAACAGCAUCGGCUAACUCCGUGCCAGCAGCAGCGGUAACACGGGGGAUGCGAGCGUUAUCCGGAUUUAUUGGGUUUAAAGGGUGCGUAGGCGGGGCGUUAAGCCAGUGGUAAAAUUGGGGGGCUCAACCCGUUCCCGCCAUUGAAACUGGCGCUCUUGAGUGGAAGAGAAGUAUGCGGAAUGCGUGGUGUAGCGGUGAAAUGCAUAGAUAUCACGCAGAACCCCGAUGGCGAAGGCAGCAUGCCGGCUUCCGACUGACGCUGAGGCACGAAAGCGUGGGGAUCGAACAGGAUUAGAUACCCCAGUAGUC
rnacentral:rRNA from 1 species